GACGAACGCUGGCGGCGUGCUUAACACAUGCAAGUCGAACGGAAAGGCCCUGCUUUUGUGGGGUGCUCGAGUGGCGAACGGGUGAGUAACACGUGAGUAACCUGCCCUUGACUUUGGGAUAACUUCAGGAAACUGGGGCUAAUACCGGAUAGGAGCUCCUGCUGCAUGGUGGGGGUUGGAAAGUUUCGGCGGUUGGGGAUGGACUCGCGGCUUAUCAGCUUGUUGGUGGGGUAGUGGCUUACCAAGGCUUUGACGGGUAGCCGGCCUGAGAGGGUGACCGGCAAAAUGGGGAAGGGGAAACGGCCCAAGCUCCUAGGGGAGGCAGGGGGGGGGAAAAUGACACAAGGGGCGGAAGCCGGAUGCAGCAACGCGGGGGGGGGGAAGACGGCCUUAGGGUUGGAAACCGCUUUGGCCUGGAACGAAGGGGGGGGGACGGAAAUGGGGAAAGAAGCACCGGCAAACUACGU
rnacentral:rRNA from 1 species